UUAAGUUCAGCGGGUAUCCCUACCUGAUCCGAGGUCAAGCGUAAAAAUGUAGACUUGUGGAUGCCACCGUCUGCAGUGGAGAGCGCAAAAUGUGCUGCGCUCCCACACGGGACGGCGGGCUGCCAAUGUAUUUGAGGCGAGUUCACGCGUGCAGCGGAACAAACGCCCAACACCAGCAGGGCUGGAGGGUACAAAUGACG
rnacentral:misc_RNA from 1 species